AGCGUACACGGUGGAUGCCCUGGCAGUCAGAGGCGAUGAAGGGCGUGCUAAUCUGCGAUAAGCGCCGGUAAGGUGAUAUGAACCGUUAUAACCGGCGAUACCCGAAUGGGGAAACCCAGUGUGAUUCGUCACACUAUCAUUAACUGAAUCCAUAGGUUAAUGAGGCGAACCGGGGGAACUGAAACAUCUAAGUACCCCGAGGAAAAGAAAUCAACCGAGAUUCCCCCAGUAGCGGCGAGCGAACGGGGAGGAGCCCAGAGCCUGAAUCAGCAUGUGUGUUAGUGGAAGCGUCUGGAAAGGCGCGCGAUACAGGGUGACAGCCCCGUACACAAAAGCGCAUGUGCUGUGAGCUCGAUGAGUAGGGCGGGACACGUGGUAUCCUGUCUGAAUAUGGGGGGACCAUCCUCCAAGGCUAAAUACUCCUGACUGACCGAUAGUGAACCAGUACCGUGAGGGAAAGGCGAAAAGAACCCCGGCGAGGGGAGUGAAAAAGAACCUGAAACCGUGUACGUACAAGCAGUGGGAGCACAGGUUUACCUGUGUGACUGCGUACCUUUUGUAUAAUGGGUCAGCGACUUAUAUUCUGUAGCAAGGUUAACCGAAUAGGGGAGCCGGAGGGAAACCGAGUCUUAAUUGGGCGUUAAGUUGCAGGGUAUAGACCCGAAACCCGGUGAUCUAGCCAUGGGCAGGUUGAAGGUUGGGUAACACUAACUGGAGGACCGAACCGACUAAUGUUGAAAAAUUAGCGGAUGACCUGUGGCUGGGGGUGAAAGGCCAAUCAAACCGGGAGAUAGCUGGUUCUCCCCGAAAGCUAUUUAGGUAGCGCCUCGUGAAUUCAUCUCCGGGGGUAGAGCACUGUUUCGGCUAGGGGGCCAUCCCGGCUUACCAACCCGAUGCAAACUGCGAAUACCGGAGAAUGUUAUCACGGGAGACACACGGCGGGUGCUAACGUCCGUCGUGAAGAGGGAAACAACCCAGACCGCCAGCUAAGGUCCCAAAGUCAUGGUUAAGUGGGAAACGAUGUGGGAAGGCCCAGACAGCCAGGAUGUUGGCUUAGAAGCAGCCAUCAUUUAAAGAAAGCGUAAUAGCUCACUGGUCGAGUCGGCCUGCGCGGAAGAUGUAACGGGGCUAAACCAUGCACCGAAGCUGCGGCAGCGACACUGUGUGUUGUUGGGUAGGGGAGCGUUCUGUAAGCCUGUGAAGGUGUGUCGUGAGGCAUGCUGGAGGUAUCAGAAGUGCGAAUGCUGACAUAAGUAACGAUAAAGCGGGUGAAAAGCCCGCUCGCCGGAAGACCAAGGGUUCCUGUCCAACGUUAAUCGGGGCAGGGUGAGUCGACCCCUAAGGCGAGGCCGAAAGGCGUAGUCGAUGGGAAACGGGUUAAUAUUCCCGUACUUGGUGUUACUGCGAAGGGGGGACGGAGAAGGCUAUGUUGGCCGGGCGACGGUUGUCCCGGUUUAAGCGUGUAGGUGUGUGUUCCAGGUAAAUCCGGUUCACUUUAACACUGAGGCGUGACGACGAGGCACUACGGUGCUGAAGCAACAAAUGCCCUGCUUCCAGGAAAAGCCUCUAAGCAUCAGGUAACAUCAAAUCGUACCCCAAACCGACACAGGUGGUCAGGUAGAGAAUACCAAGGCGCUUGAGAGAACUCGGGUGAAGGAACUAGGCAAAAUGGUGCCGUAACUUCGGGAGAAGGCACGCUGACACGUAGGUGAAGUGAUUUACUCAUGGAGCUGAAGUCAGUCGAAGAUACCAGCUGGCUGCAACUGUUUAUUAAAAACACAGCACUGUGCAAACACGAAAGUGGACGUAUACGGUGUGACGCCUGCCCGGUGCCGGAAGGUUAAUUGAUGGGGUCAGCGCAAGCGAAGCUCCUGAUCGAAGCCCCGGUAAACGGCGGCCGUAACUAUAACGGUCCUAAGGUAGCGAAAUUCCUUGUCGGGUAAGUUCCGACCUGCACGAAUGGCGUAAUGAUGGCCAGGCUGUCUCCACCCGAGACUCAGUGAAAUUGAACUCGCUGUGAAGAUGCAGUGUACCCGCGGCAAGACGGAAAGACCCCGUGAACCUUUACUAUAGCUUGACACUGAACAUUGAGCCUUGAUGUGUAGGAUAGGUGGGAGGCUUUGAAGUGUGGACGCCAGUCUGCAUGGAGCCGACCUUGAAAUACCACCCUUUAAUGUUUGAUGUUCUAACGUGGACCCGUAAUCCGGGUUGCGGACAGUGUCUGGUGGGUAGUUUGACUGGGGCGGUCUCCUCCUAAAGAGUAACGGAGGAGCACGAAGGUUGGCUAAUCCUGGUCGGACAUCAGGAGGUUAGUGCAAUGGCAUAAGCCAGCUUGACUGCGAGCGUGACGGCGCGAGCAGGUGCGAAAGCAGGUCAUAGUGAUCCGGUGGUUCUGAAUGGAAGGGCCAUCGCUCAACGGAUAAAAGGUACUCCGGGGAUAACAGGCUGAUACCGCCCAAGAGUUCAUAUCGACGGCGGUGUUUGGCACCUCGAUGUCGGCUCAUCACAUCCUGGGGCUGAAGUAGGUCCCAAGGGUAUGGCUGUUCGCCAUUUAAAGUGGUACGCGAGCUGGGUUUAGAACGUCGUGAGACAGUUCGGUCCCUAUCUGCCGUGGGCGCUGGAGAACUGAGGGGGGCUGCUCCUAGUACGAGAGGACCGGAGUGGACGCAUCACUGGUGUUCGGGUUGUCAUGCCAAUGGCACUGCCCGGUAGCUAAAUGCGGAAGAGAUAAGUGCUGAAAGCAUCUAAGCACGAAACUUGCCCCGAGAUGAGUUCU
rnacentral:rRNA from 1 species